AACACUUCAUUUGUCUAUUUGUGCCAGUAUUACGUCAUCUGGAAAAAUAGGGGAGAUAAAGUUACCGGAAACAGCAGAAAACUAGCAGUUUUUGGGAAAGUAACUGGUCACACUAGCAUAGUCAAAAUGUCAUUGUCACGUUGCGGCGCGGCGUUGCCGAUUCUGUCACUUGCAUUUGUGAAACUAUUAGUGCCUAGUGGUGUACGGGCCUAUAGUGGUAGUGCCAGUGUAUCUAAUAAGAACAUCGUCUUCACAAGCACUAAAAAGAUGUUCAUCUCUGAGGAGCGUGGUUCUGCCUACGCGCCAGAUUUCCGGGUAUACUUCAAGGAUGAAUGCGGCCCCAUUUCACCGCUGCACGACAUUCCACUAUGGGCCGACAAGGAACACCGUAUUGCCAACAUGAUCGUCGAGGUGCCUCGCUGGUCAAACGCCAAGAUGGAGCUUAGUCUUACUGAACCCCUGAACCCCAUUAAGCAAGACGUCAAGAAAGGCGCCCUGAGAUUCGUAGCCAACGUCUUUCCUCAUCACGGUUACAUCUGGAACUACGGAGCGUUGCCCCAGACGUGGGAGAACCCCCAGCACAUAGAUGGGGGCACCCAGGCGCGGGGGGACAACGACCCCAUUGACGUCAUCGAGAUCGGGUCCCGGGUAGCGUCGCGGGGUGACGUCAUUCAGGUCAAAAUCGUCGGCACGAUAGCUUUAAUUGAUGAAGGCGAGACCGACUGGAAGCUAGUGGCUAUUGACAAGCGGGACCCCUUGGCCAAUGAUAUCAACGACAUUCCUGAUGUCGAGGCAACCUUCCCUGGACUCCUGAAGGCCACAGUGGAGUGGUUCCGGCUGUACAAAGUACCUGAUGGCAAGCCACCGAAUCAAUUUGCCUUCAACGGGGAAGCCAAGAACGCAGAGUUCGCGCAUAAGAUUGUUGAUGAGGUCCAUGAAUUCUGGCGUGGUCUGAUUAACGGCGAUGGCAGCGAAGGUGCUGAUAUCAACAAAAUGAACGUGAGCGUGGAGAACAGUCCGUACCGCGUGGAGCGCGCCGAGGCCAGCAAGCUGCUGGCCGCCGCCCCGCCGCGGUCGCUUCCCCAACAACAGCCGCCAUACGUGGACAAGUGGCACUUCCUCUCCAACAUUUAAAGUGCCUUAGCCGCCAUACUACAGCCGUAGCUUCACCCUUCGUGUCUCGACAAAUAUUCACUCUAGCAACACUUGAUGUUAUUUAUUUAUUUAAUUUUCU
rnacentral:misc_RNA from 1 species